rnacentral:rRNA from 1 species
CCUACGGGAGGCAGCAGUGAGGAAUAUUGGUCAAUGGUCGGGAGACUGAACCAGCCAAGCCGCGUGAGGGAGGAAGGUACAGAGUAUCGUAAACCUCUUUUGUCAGGGAACAAAGACUGGGACGCGUCCCCGGAUGAGUGUACCUGAAGAAAAAGCAUCGGCUAACUCCGUGCCAGCAGCCGCGGUAAUACGGAGGAUGCGAGCGUUAUCCGGAUUUAUUGGGUUUAAAGGGUGCGCAGGCGGUCUGUUAAGUCAGCGGGCAAAGCCCGGGGCUCAACCCCGGUCCGCCGUUGAAACUGGCAGUCUCGAGUUGGAGAGAAGUAGGCGGAAUGCGCGGUGUAGCGGUGAAAUGCAUAGAUAUCGCGCAGAACUCCGAUUGCGAAGGCAGCAUGCCGGCUCCACACUGACGCUGAGGCACGAAAGCGUGGGUAUCGAACAGGAUUAGAUACCCUUGUAGUC